UGUCGUUAUUUGAAUUUGUGACCCUUGCUGC
rnacentral:piRNA from 1 species